UUUUAUGGAGAGUUUGAUCCUGGCUCAGGAUGAACGCUGGCGGCGUGCCUAAUACAUGCAAGUCGAGCGAACAGACGAGGAGCUUGCUCCUCUGACGUUAGCGGCGGACGGGUGAGUAACACGUGGAUAACCUACCUAUAAGACUGGGAUAACUUCGGGAAACCGGAGCUAAUACCGGAUAAUAUAUUGAACCGCAUGGUUCAAUAGUGAAAGACGGUUUUGCUGUCACUUAUAGAUGGAUCCGCGCCGCAUUAGCUAGUUGGUAAGGUAACGGCUUACCAAGGC
rnacentral:rRNA from 1 species